UCGAACGGCGAGCACGGGGCAACCGUGGUGGCGAGUGGCGAACGGGUGAGUAAUGCAUCGGAACGUGCCAUUGAGUGGGGGUAACGUAGCGAAAGUUACGCUAAUACCGCAUAUUCUGUGAGCAGGAAAGCAGGGGAUCGCAAGACCUUGCGCUCUUUGAGCGGCCGAUGUCAGAUUAGCUAGUUGGUGAGGUAACGGCUUACCAAGGCGACGAUCUGUAGCGGGUCUGAGAGGAUGAUCCGCCACACUGGAACUGAGACACGGUCCAGACUCCUACGGGAGGCAGCAGUGGGGAAUUUUGGACAAUGGGGCAACCCUGAUCCAGCCAUGCCGCGUGAGUGAAGAAGGCCUUCGGGUUGUAAAGCUCUUUCGGCCGGGAAGAAAUCGCAUGGGUUAAUACCCUGUGUGGAUGACGGUACCGGCAUAAGAAGCACCGGCUAACUACGUG
rnacentral:rRNA from 1 species